rnacentral:rRNA from 1 species
AUACGAGGGGAGCUAGCGUUGUUCGGAAUUACUGGGCGUAAAGCGCGCGUAGGCGGUUUUUUAAGUCAGAGGUGAAAGCCCGGGGCUCAACCCCGGAAUAGCCUUUGAAACUGGAAAACUAGAAUCUUGGAGAGGUCAGUGGAAUUCCGAGUGUAGAGGUGAAAUUCGUAGAUAUUCGGAAGAACACCAGUGGCGAAGGCGACUGACUGGACAAGUAUUGACGCUGAGGUGCGAGAGCGUGGGGAUC